UCAGUAAACUUGUGUUCGUGAACAAAUCCUACAUCGUGUUGUCGACUUUAGCAGAACACAAGGUGUCCAUGCUGCAAGAUUUGGAACGCAUCAUAGAAAAGAUAAGUGCUAAAAGAAACGUUAAUCUGUUAAAUCCGUUAUACUGAAUCUCGAGCAUAGUAUCGAGUGUUACGAAGUAGUAACAGAGUUGAAACAAUGUAUAUUUCAAGUAACAAUUUCAGCACAAGAGAAAGCCGAUCAAUUUACAAAUAGAAAUAUUGAUGGCACGUGACCGAAAAUUCACAGGUCAUUAAUGGUAGAACACGAAAAAAGCUUUCGAACUUACUGGGGAAUAAAUUGCUAUUCUUUGUGGUGUUGUAUACAUUCUAUGUGUAUAUGUGUAAAUGUUUUACGAGUCUGAUGACGUAAUGUUAUUUGCAGAAAAAUACAAGGUAGAGGCGAUGGCAUAUAACAAGGCGGAAACAUAACGCCACGCGGCGCUCUUGACGGGUCAUAUCAGAAGCCGGAAGCUUCAUCUAACAUCGCAACACAAGGGGCUGAAACUCAAUUACCAUUGAGACGCACAGGACUAUGUUUCGCAUGUGGCGAACCGGGUCAUCGGAAAGGAGCAGCUGGAUGUUCAGCAAACAGCUCGACCAAUAAGAAAUGUUUUGAGAGGUACUCUGAAGGAGCGAUUAGAGGGCUCGGGCUUGCAUGGGCUUCGAAGAGAUUAGAUGGCGGACAGAAUGGCUAAGUAAAUACUUAGAACAAUCAAGAGCAGACAAUACGGUGAAGAAAAUAAUUAUUCAUGUGCACAUUUCAAAUACUGUGAAGAAAAUGUAGUCGCCAUGCCAGCCUUACAUAUAUCAGUAGUAAUGUACAUGGCUCGAUUGAUGGGUCGAGGAAAUCUAAUAACGUUUUUUACAUCUGUGUUUUACACAUAUUAAAUGGAUCCAUUCUAUUAAUAGUGUACAUGAUCCAAAGAAAGAUUUAACAAACUAUUAUAAGAAGCUUCAAAGCGUGUGUGUUUCAAACCAUCUCACAAGAAAGAUGUAUUAUGUACAUGUGCAUUCAUUAGAGAUGAUACAAACAUUGUGUUUGAUAUAUGGAGAUUCCACUGUUUUCAUUGAUUGAUCAUUUUUGGGUUGUGCAUGUACAUGUAUCAUGCAUAUUAACAAAUUAAGUGAGUUUCAUUGUAAUGACCUACAAUUGAAAUCUGAUCACUUUGUUAUUAAUGUACGCCAUUAUAAUACUGGCAUGUAUACAAAUGGUCCGGAUAUUAUAAUUGCAAAAUGUACAACUACAACUUUCCAUAUGGCGUUUUAUUAACAAAUAUGUAAUUAGCAAAUUGGUCAGAUGAAUCAAAUGAUUUUUUGUUCAAACCAGUUAUUGGUUAUAUAUAUGUAAUUAUUUAGACUAGCUAACGCCGAGGGCGUGUUUUAGAGAUGUUUGAAGCGACAUGGUCGAUGGAAGUCUGAUAGGGCUAAAGAUGAGUACAUUGAUGAUUCUCUAGACAAAAAGCUUUUUAUCACUAGACAAUUGAAAUUAUAAUUGAUUUGCGGUUCGAAUUUUAAACCUUACUAACCUU